AGAGUUUGAUCCUGGCUCAGGAUGAACGCUGGCGGCGUGCCUAACACAUGCAAGUCGAGCGAUCUUCUUCGGAAGAGAGCGGCGGACGGGUGAGUAACGCGUGGGUAACCUGCCCUAUACACACGGAUAACAUACCGAAAGGUAUGCUAAUACGAGAUAAUAUAAGAAAUUCACAUGUUUUUCUUAUCAAAGCUGAGGCGGUAUAGGAUGGACCCGCGUCUGAUUAGCUAGUUGGUAAGGUAAUGGCUUACCAAGGCGACGAUCAGUAGCCGACCUGAGAGGGUGAUCGGCCACAUUGGAACUGAGACACGGUCCAAACUCCUACGGGAGGCAGCAGUGGGGAAUAUUGCACAAUGGGCGAAAGCCUGAUGCAGCAACGCCGCGUGAGCGAUGAAGGCCUUCGGGUCGUAAAGCUCUGUCCUCAAGGAAGAUAAUGACGGUACUUGAGGAGGAAGCCCCGGCUAACUACGUGCCAGCAGCCGCGGUAAUACGUAGGGGGCUAGCGUUAUCCGGAUUUACUGGGCGUAAAGGGUGCGUAGGUGGUUUCUUAAGUCAGGAGUGAAAGGCUACGGCUCAACCGUAGUAAGCUCUUGAAACUGGGAAACUUGAGUGCAGGAGAGGAAAGUGGAAUUCCUAGUGUAGCGGUGAAAUGCGUAGAUAUUAGGAGGAACACCAGUAGCGAAGGCGGCUUUCUGGACUGUAACUGACACUGAGGCACGAAAGCGUGGGGAGCAAACAGGAUUAGAUACCCUGGUAGUCCACGCCGUAAACG
rnacentral:rRNA from 1 species